AGGAUUUUAGCUUAAUUAAAGUGUCUGGGUUGCAAUCAGAGGAUGUGAGAUAAAAUCUUGCAAAUCUUA
rnacentral:tRNA from 1 species